UCGCCACGGGGGGCCAUCCCCUUUGUCCGACGGCGCUAAUUGCUUCUAUCAAUAUUCAAGAUGUUUCGGCAAAUACGAACAAAUUUGACAAAAACUGGCUUGAAAAAAACAAAACGGGUGUACAAAAGCCGAAACCGGUUAGCAUCUAAAGCUCGUGGAGGAACUAGUUUGGAUUUCUUUUGUUUAUUUUUCAGGCGGUGCCUGGUUUUUGUUGCUGUUCGAUUUCCUUUUCGGGAAACAGAUGUUGCCCAGAACUUUUACGGGUGCCAUGGGCGGAGGCGGAGUGAUCUCCGCGACUGUAAGUUGUUGGUGUCUGUGAGUGGAGGGCAUCCCAGUGAACUUCUGCCUGAGAUUUCUCAAUGCAGCCGAUUGUCGUCCCCUUCGGCUGAUAAGAGGCUGGAUUAAGUGGAAAAACGAUUGUAUUACUUCUUCUAAUUCAUAAGAUAAACAUGCAGAAAGAAGGGAUAGCUGAAGCAGACCUUGUAUUAAAAAUAAUUAUUUCCUCUGACAUAAUAAAUACCCUAGAUUAACACAGAACGGUCCCCAUAUUGAAUACAAAUCUACGAUAUUCAAUUUUAAGAAUUGAAACACGAAUUAAGACACUCACAGCAUUCUUCCAUCAAAAUGAGGAUGAAGUGAACGAUAACAAAGGGACAUUUGUUGAGAUCGCUUAAUCAAACAUGUAAUAUUAGGUAUGCGACUUGUAAUGGAAUAUGCGAAAUUGUUUACGAACUAAAUGGAAAAACAGAGAUUCGAAAUAAAUGUAUAAUUUUUUGUACAA